rnacentral:rRNA from 1 species
UGAGGAAUAUUGGUCAAUGGGCGGGAGCCUGAACCAGUCAAGUCGCGUGAGGGAAGACGGUCCUAUGGAUUGUAAACCUCUUUUGUCGGGGAGCAAAGAGGCCACGUGUGGUCAAAAGCGAGAGUACCCGAAGAAAAAGCAUCGGCUAACUCCGUGCC